UGUAAUUUAAUUUUGAUUUGUUUUUGGCUUUCAGUCACUUGUCACUUGUAGAAUUUUGUAUUCAAAUUUCGGUCACAGUUCUUUUUGGCCAAGUUGUGAAUUGCGAAUUUCAGACACGUCUCAGUCGCGGCUUUUUCAUUUUUAACGCGCAUGCGCACCCGCGUUGCUCUCGCUCCUCGAACCGGCGCUCAACUAACUGUUUUUGGUUUAAGCCAGGUUUGCUGCAGACACCAAACCUUUCUUGGCUCACAGCAUGUUCGAUGUGGUUGGAUCGUUGGCCAGUGUGCUUAUGGCUCUGGCGGAGUGUAAUUUGUGGCGGAGCGAUAAUUAAUUAGCAGUAAAUUAAAGUGACAGUCCGGUGAUUAUGUCACAGUGGGAGAGCUCUUCAAAAACCACAUUGAUAUGCAAAUGAAUCGGUGUUGGCCCAAAGAAAUGCCCUUUUGGAAUUUGCUGAUUCAUGUCGUUUUUAACAAUUAUUGAAAAGAAAAUAAAUGCGACCAACAUCACCUUGA
rnacentral:sRNA from 1 species